rnacentral:RNase_P_RNA from 1 species
GGCGGGUCAUCGCUCCGUUGCGACCGGGCCUUCAGGGCCGGGCAGCGGUGAGGAAAGUCCGAACACCACAGGGCACCGUGCUUCCUAACCGGAAGGCGCUCCGGCAAUAGCUGGAACGACGGCACGUGCAACAGAGAGCAGUCCCACCCCGGAGGGAUCCGGGGCCAGGGGUGAAAGGGUGCGGCAAGAGCGCACCGGCGCUCCGGGCGACCGGGGCGGCCAGGCAAACCCCACGGGGUGCAAGGCCAAGUAGCACCGGUCCCGACGCUGCGUCGGGGAGAGGCGGCCCGCCAAUUUUCGGUGCAGGUAGGCCGCUUGAGGCGCUCGGCAACGAGUGUCCCAGAUAGAUGAUGACCUCCUCGCUUCUCCGGUGCGGCACCGGGCGCGAGCAGACCAGAUUCGGCUUAUAGCUUC